rnacentral:rRNA from 1 species
CCUACGGGAGGCAGCAGUGAGGAAUUUUCCGCAAUGGGCGAAAGCCUGACGGAGCAACGCCGCGUGAGGGAUGAAGGCCUCUGGGCUGUAAACCUCUUUUAUCAAGGAAGAAGAUCUGACGGUACUUGAUGAAUAAGCCACGGCUAAUUCCGUGCCAGCAGCCGCGGUAAUACGGGAGUGGCAAGCGUUAUCCGGAAUUAUUGGGCGUAAAGCGUCCGCAGGCGGCCCUUCAAGUCUGCUGUUAUAAAGUGGAGCUUAACUCCAUCAUGGCAGUGGAAACUGUUGGGCUUGAGUGUGGUAGGGGCAGAGGGAAUUCCCGGUGUAGCGGUGAAAUGCGUAGAUAUCGGGAAGAACACCAGUGGCGAAGGCGCUCUGCUGGGCCAUAACUGACGCUCAUGGACGAAAGCCAGGGGAGCGAAAGGGAUUAGAUACCCCUGUAGUCCUGGCCGUAAACGAUGAACACUAGGUGUCGGGGGAAUCGACCCCCUCGGUGUCGUAGCCAACGCGUUAAGUGUUCCGCCUGGGGAGUACGCACGCAAGUGUGAAACUCAAAGGAAUUGACGG